AGUCCACAUCGACGGGGAGGUUUGGCACCUCGAUGUCGGCUCAUCACAUCCUGGGGCUGUAGUAGGUCCCAAGGGUUGGGCUGUUCGCCCAUUAAAGUGGUACGCGAGCUGGGUUCAGAACGUCGUGAGACAGUUCGGUCCCUAUCCGUCGCAGGCGUAGGAAAUUUGAGAAGUCCUGUCCUUAGUACGAGAGGACCGGGAUGGACGUACCUCUGGUGUACCAGUUGUCCUGCCAAGGGCAUGGCUGGGUAGCUAUGUACGGAAUGGAUAAGCGCUGAAAGCAUCUAAGCGCGAAGCCAACUUCAAGAUAAGAUUUCCCACCG
rnacentral:rRNA from 1 species